CUCACAAGGCUUCCAGGGACAGGCUCUGAGGAGUCCACCAUCGGAGUACUGAGUGGCGUGGGAUGACAUUUCAGAACAGAAAGCCCUCUGCCCCCCCCAGACGCUUCCCAAAGGGAUGAGGGAUGGAUGGAUGCCCCCUUCCCACCCAAAGGUCCUGCAGAUGCACAAAGGCUGUCUGGGUCCUCAUGGAUUUUGCCACCUUGGUCACAAUUUUUGCUAUCUACCGUCCUUUGCUGCACCUGAUUUCAGUGACCUCCGGUCCCUGCAUAGCUUGCAUUCCUCUGGGGAGGGGUGCAGGCCAGCAGGAAGGCCUUUCUCCUUCCCUGAGCCAGUCCAGAUGAGCUCAGUGGGUCCCUCAGUGACACUGGAAUCCAGCCCUAUGCUUUCUGUGCCCCAAGUACUUGUCCUGGGAAAAGGCCAAGUUGCUGGAGGAUGCAGCGGCUCUCCAGGGAGCAUGAGAGCUAGUGUUGCACAGGGUAGAGAAAGACACAGCAGUUUCCCCCUGUCCUAGGAAGUUGCCACUGCUCCCAUCCAGCCAUCUCCUGCACAUCUUGAAAACCUCUCUCUCUUUGGUGCUGUCCCUCCUGGGGCUGGACCAUGUGCUAGGGAUAGGGAGAGGGCAUUUCCCUGCAACCAAGACAGUAAUCUUUGUUUUGAUGCAUAGGCAGGUAUUCUUCUUUCAGCCCCUGUACAAGAGCUGAGCAGGCAGAGGGGCUGCUGAAUGUGGGGAUCACACUGUAUGAAGUGUUGCGCCUGGCACAGUCAGGGCUAUCAGGCAGAGCCCUUUGAUUUCCCACCAGAGUCAGGAUUCCUGCAUCUACACAGCCCUCAGGUGGCAGAUAACAGGAGGCUGGAGUAUGUCCUGAAGUGCUGACAGGGGCCGUGCUCAUUAAUGUGUGUUGGCAGCUCUAGCCUGGGCAGAAGCCUUCUUCCACCCUUCCCAGUAGGGCAGUGGCUCCUCAAAACAAGCCACACAUAGGCACAGACCGCUGCAGACAGCCCUGCACUGCUGGGCUGUGGCUGAGCUAGGGAGACAGCACCGGCAUUCAGUGUGAAUGCUCAUUCUCCACCCCAUAGGGAAUGAGGCCUGCCAGGGAUAGUGCCUGAGGCCCUGCCAUUGAGGGAAGACCUUAGCAGUGGAAUCAGGCUCAUGAGUAGGGCUAUGAGAGGUCGCUGGGCGACUGCUCUGCUCCCAGAAGCGAGUUGUGCCUGCUCUGGGAGGCCUUUGGCUCCUCUUGGCACUGGAACUAAAGAGCCAUGACCAUGUGUUAAAGCUCAUUGACUGAGGAAUCAUCCAGGCAUCACUGCCGGCUGGAGUUUGAGCUCCCAGUCAUCAGACCUGAACAUGUCCAUGAAUGCUGGGGCACUUCAUAGCUCACUUGAGCUUUGUGAGUGCUGGGAUUUUGUUUUGCUGUGGGUGGAAAAGCCCAGCCCUUGGGGCUUUGGUCACUGCAGCCUUUCUCUAUUUUCUCCACAUGACUUCGCUCUCCUUACUCACAUAUGACACGAGGAAGGCUUUCACAUGCAACUUCUGCAGAAAUGAGUAUUAAAAGGAAGAAAACCAAUUUCAACAGCCAGAAUUAACCUCCCAGACAUUUACAGCCUCCCACAUCCUCCAGCCAGACGGCCUAAUCCAGGCUGACUGCAGGAACGCUUUGUGCCAGGGACCAGAAACAACUUGCCACAUCCGAAGGGAUGCAGACGCUUGCAGAGUGCUGGGAUGCCACAUCUCUACUCAACACGUGGGCACAGACGGAUGGCUUGCAGAACAGCUAGGAGGCUCAAUGUUUCUGUAAGAUAAUGCUGUGACUGCUCCAAGAGUGUGCAGGCGGAAGGGGCUUCUUUAAAUGCUCCUAUUUGAAAAUAAAAAUGGAAAUAAAAAAU
ensembl:lncRNA